rnacentral:rRNA from 1 species
AACUAACGCUGGCGGCGUGCCUAACACAUGCAAGUCGUACGAGAAAGCCGGCUUCGGCUGGUGAGUAAAAGUGGCGCACGGGUGGGUAACGCGUGGAUAAUCUGCCCUUAAGUGUGGAAUAACGUACCGAAAGGUGCGCUAAUACCGCAUAAUGCCUGGCAACACAAGUUGUCCGGCCAAAGAAGGCCUCUGUUUACAAGCUUUCGCUUCAGGAUGAGUCCGCGUACCAUUAGCUUGUUGGUGGGGUAAUGGCCUACCAAGGCUGCGAUGGUUAGCUGGUCUGAGAGGAUGAUCAGCCACACUGGAACUGAGACACGGUCCAGACUCCUACGGGAGGCAGCAGUGAGGAAUAUUGCGCAAUGGGGCAACCCUGACGCAGCAACGCCGCGUGAGUGAGGAAGGUUUUCGGACUGUAAAGCUCUGUCGAGCGGGAAGAAGUGUACCAUGGCUAAUAUCCAUGAUAUUUGACGGUACCGCUAGAGG